rnacentral:lncRNA from 1 species
UUUUUUUUUUUUUUUUAAAUAGAGACGGGGUCUUGUUCUGUCACCUACCCUGAAGUUCGGUGGCAUGAUCCUAACUCACUGCAGCCUUGAGCUCCUGGGCUCAAGCGAUCUUUCUGCCUCAGCCUCCCAAAUAGCUGGGACUAGAGGUGCCCAGCUAGUUCUUUAAAUUAUUAUUUGUAGAGAUGGGGUCUUGCCAUAUUGCCCAGACUCCUCUUGAACUCCUGGCCUCAAAUUAUCCUCCUGCCUCAGCUUCCCAAAGUGCUGGGAUUGCAGGUGUGAGCUGCCGCACCCAGGCAGCCAAUCUUCCUUUGUGAGAAAGGGCUCUGGGGUGGACUUUCUGAGGAAUAGGGGGUGAAGCUGUGGACCCAGGGCAGUCUUUUCUAUCAUGUGUAAAGAUCCUGGCUGAAUUGUCCCCACUACAUUGAUACUGUUGAUCCCUUAGUUUUAUGUUAUUUAUCCCAGGCUUCUAGAUUUUUUUUCGGUCCUGCCUUGGGAGGAAAAAAAAUGUAAUCCUGUUCCUGCUGGGAACUGUAAUUAUGCUGUUUCUAUAAUAGUAUAAAGUUUAAAUUUAAUGUAGAUCUUAGAUACAUUUUAUUACUAUUGCUUCAUGAGAUUCUUUAUCUAAUUACAACUGUCAUCAAGUUUGUCAUUUUACUUUCAAGAAUACUGAGCAUUGGCCGGGUGCAGUGGCUCAUGCCUGUAAUCCCAGCACUUUGGGAGGCCAAGGUGGGUAGAUCACUUGAGGUCAGGAGUUCGAGACCCGCCUGGCCAACAAGGUAAAACCCGUUUCUACUAAAAAUACAAAAAUCAGCCAGGUGUGGUGGCAUGCACUUGUAGUCCCAGCUACUGGAAAGUCUGAAGCAAGAGAAUCAUUUGAACUCGGGAGGCAGAGGUUGCAGUGAGCUGAGAUCACAACACUGGACUCCAGCCUGGGCCACAGAGUGAGACUUUGUCUCAAAGAAGUAAAUAAAAGAAUACUGGGCAGAUUCCAAACAGGGUCUGGACUAACUAGGAUAAUAGAGAAGAUUUCUGCUGCCUUUUAGAUGGGAGCUCUAUGGAAUACCUUGGGAAUAAUAGUGGCCACAUUGAGUGCCUGACCCUAGAAUUAUUACUUGUGACUAAUGGUAUGUGUAUUGGUUAUCGAUUGCUGUGUAACAAGCUACUCCAAAACUUAGCAACUUAAACCAACAUGCAUUUAUUAUCUCAUGGUUUCCAUGAAUCAAGUGUCUGAGCACAGCUUAACUGGGUUCUCCAUAUCAGGAUUUCUCACAAGGCUACAAUUAAGGUGUCAGCCCGGCCAGAUGUCUCAUCUGAAGGCAGGACUGAGGAAGGAUCUGCUUCCAAGUUCAUAUAGUGAUUGCAAAAUUCACUGCAUUCCUUAAGGGACUGAGGACUCCAGUCCCUGCUGGCUGUUGGUCAGUGCUCACUUCGUGUCUUGCCGUGUGAGCCUCUC